GGUUUAGAGUCCUAGGCGUACAGGAUAAACGACUGGCGGCGCACAUAAGACAUGCAGUCGAACGGACUUAACAUAGUUUACUAUUCGGAGCGGUUAGUGGCGGACUGGUGAGUAACACGUAAGCAACCUGCCUAAUCAGAGGGGAACGAACAGUUAGAAAUGACUGCUAAUACCGCAUAUGCCAUGAAUAUCACAUGAUAGUAAAUGGGAAAGGAGCAAUCCGCUGAUAGAUGGGCUUGCGUCUGAUUAGAUAGUUGGUGGGGUAACGGGCCUACCAAGUCGACGAUCAGUAGCCGGACUGAGAGGUUGAACGGCCACAUUGGGACUGAGAUACGGCCCAGACUUCUACGGGAGGCAGCAGUCGGGAAUAUUGCGCAAUGGAGGAAACUCUGACGCAGUGACGCCGCGUGCAGGAAGAAGGUUUUCGGAUUGUAAACUGCUUUAGACAGGGAAGAUAAUGACAGUACCUGUAGAAUAAGCUCCGGCUAACUACGCG
rnacentral:rRNA from 1 species